CAUAGGUUUGGUCCCAGCCUUCCUGUUGACUCUUAAUAAACUUACACAUGCAAGCAUCUACACCCCAGUGAGAAUGCCCUCUAGGUUGUUAAAACUAAGAGGAGCUGGCAUCAAGCACACACCCCGUAGCUCACGACGCCUUGCUUAACCACACCCCCACGGGAAACAGCAGUGACAAAAAUUAAGCCAUAAACGAAAGUUUGACUAAGUUAUAUUAAUCAGGGUUGGUAAAUCUCGUGCCAGCCACCGCGGUCAUACGAUUAACCCAAGCCAACAGGAAUACGGCGUAAAACGUGUUAAAGCACCACAUCAAAUAGGGUUAAAUUUUAAUUAAGCUGUAAAAAGCCAUGAUUAAAAUAAAAAUAAAUGACGAAAGUAACCCUACAACAGCCGAUGCACUAUAGCUAAGACCCAAACUGGGAUUAGAUACCCCACUAUGCUUAGCCCUAAACACAGAUAAUUACAUAAACAAAAUUA
rnacentral:rRNA from 1 species